UUUUUUUUUUUUUUUUUUUUUUGAGGGACUCAGCACCUUGUUUUGAUGUAGAUAUUAUCUACAUGGAGUUUCUGCAUUUUCUCUGUGAAUAGGAAUUAACUGGGAUUUACCACCACCUGCUAGGACUGCCUCCAACUUUUCUUUUAAACUCCAGCAGAUGCCACUUCCCUCCUCAGCAGAGGGGUGUUCUCCAGCCCCACUGUGGUGCUGGUUUACUUUGCCUGUAAUAAGCAGCCAUGGAGCCCCAGAGCCGGGGGAUGAAGUCAGCAUGACUUGCUGGCAUGGCGGGGACGGCAGCUGAGCCAGUUGGAUGUUGGAGGUGGUUGGAGCCACCAGCCACCUGCCUGCAGGCCCUCCCUCCCUGAGGAGCUCUUUCACCACGCAUUCUCCUAUGUUUUGGCAAACAAGAGAGGCCAACUUUAAUCCGAUGAGGCUUUUCAAGGGCAUGGAUUGCUUUCUUCCUGCUGUCUGAUCACGCAGCCUUUUCUCUAAAUUGAAAAAAUGAAGACAUUUCUAAGACUGAUGUUGAAAUCCUCUUACAAUCCCUAAUUCAGCAUCCACAGCCAUAGGAAAGCAAACCAGUCUUUCAAAGGUGAGAAUGACAUGCAACAAGAUUAUAAACUGGCAGAACUGCUCUCUGCCUGCCAGUCCUAAAAUACUGACUUCAGUUUCAACGGUGACUUCACUUGAGCUGAUGCCGAGAUGGUUUCAUGCAGCCUGCUCAGCGAUCCUCCACAAUUACGAAUUUCCCCAGAGUUUUGGUGUUAGAUGUAGACACUUGACUACAGUUUUCCUUUGGCUGGUUGGAUUUAGGGACGUGGAUGAUGGGCAGAAAAGCAAAGCAGUGAAGACAGACAGAUUUACCCCUAGCCCACAGGAGCUGCAUGCCCCAAGCAGAAGGGAGGGUAAGUCCUUUGGUGCAGCUCCUUUUGGAAACAGGAGGAUUUUGAGCAGCUGAUAGCACUUCAACUCAAGUUCUCCACAUUCGGGUCCGGUUUAAGACCUGAGGAACUCCUUUAGUACAGAUCCUUCUGUCCUGUGACCCUUGGUGAAUGUGGGGUAGGGAUGUGAGCCGUGCUUGCCAUGGGAUGUGAUGGGAAGGCUCCCUCCAUAGGCUCCGAGCCAAUUUCCUAAUGUUGGUGCUGGGGAUAACGUUUUGGCAAAGUGCUGACUCCUUGGUUUUCCCCAUCAUUGUCCUUAUGAAAACCGCCCUUUCCUGAACUAUUAUCGCAUUUCUUCUCCAUCGGUCUCAAAAACAAUGAUCCAUAGAUUCGGCUCUUUCCAUUCUAACCUGUUCUGAUGUUUAUGCUGGUGGGAAUCAGGAGCGAUGCCAGCACGGGUUCGGGCAGCGGCUAAUUAAUAUCAGAGAUUUUCUUCUGUUAGCCCCGCUUCCUCGCAGCAUGUUUUUUACUGUCCACUGCUGUUUCUCUCUUACUCCUCUUCGAGGUUACUGCGGUGCUGCUGAGACACAGAUCCUUCAGAGUGGAUUCGAUGAAGGCAGCAGAGGUAGGAGACCCUGCCUGCUGCCCCAGCCGUGGGUCAAGCCACCGAGCUGCACGGCCCCAUGUGUAAAGACGCUUUUGGGUCUCCCCUUUGCGUUCCUGCUGUCAGCAGGGGACGUAGGAGCCUUCCCGGAGGACGGGGGCUGCAGGCAAAGAGCAAGAAUCGUUUGGCGUUCUGGUGGCCUGCCUUUGAACCAGCUAACUUAGCCUCGAAAAGCCAGGGCUGGUAAUUGCCUAUCGUGAUAAUAACCGUGUGAAUACUGUUAUCUAGUCCACCCUUCCACUUUCCAGCCAUUGUGCGGUGGCGCUGCCUCAUUUCUUGGCUUGGCGAUACCUGCUUAUUUCCUAGGAGUCGAAUCAAAAUAGCCUCUGAUCUCGCUGCCCAUUUCCUUGCCUCGCUGGGCACAAAAUCACAGGUCUGCAUCGUUGCCAGGAGCAUCCAGCUUCCUUUCAUGGGCUUAUUCCAGCCACUGUUUUGCUAACUGAAAGCCUUCCAAAUUCAGCAUCGCAGCCUACUUACUGGGUUUCCCAAAGCCACGUAAACUUUUCUGGCCACUUCCCUGCGGCCCUGGGACAGUUUUCGUAAGCCUACAUUCUUCUGCCCUCUUUUUCAUCUCAAACCAGUCUCCUUAGAGCUAACAGAAGCUACUGUCAGUCUGACCAGGACGCCGGGCUUGAAACCAGGGAGUAAAGUGCUUUAUACUGGGAAGUAAAAUCCAUGAUUGUACAGGUCUAAAAAAAUCAUGGACAAAAACCUGGUUUCUUGGCAUGAUUGUAGCCUUUCUCCUUCUUAUUAACCCUUCAAUGAAUCAGCUGUUGCUCUCUUUCCCCUGGUGCCUGCUCCCGAUGGGCUAUAUGUGCCAGAUGAGCCUCCCAGCUGUUGCUCCUCAGCUCUGACAUUUGCUGCUUCCCUUUUAGCCCUGAAGGGGAAGGGUUUGCAUGGCCAAAACCUCGCCGCUGUCUUCCAGUUCUGUUAGUUCAUCUAGUAAAAAGGAUUACCUCUACCCACCUCCCACGCCUCCCUUACAUAAGAAGCGUGAAUCAUCGGGAUCUUAAAAGCAUGAUGUCUGCCCAAAAAAGACGGCUUACAAAGGACCAUUGGUAGCCCCGUUAUUUAACUGGAACAGCAGCAGGAGCCCAGGCAAGGAAUGGGCUCCAUACGGACAAGGGCCUUCCAGCUUAAAAGCCUAAAGGUGGCCCUUCCCUAUAGCAUCUCCAUUCUGGACCUGUUGCAGCAACACUUCAGCUCGCUUCUGUCAGGUGGGCUCAUGGGGGUUUAUGAGCUUUUACAAUAUCAAGGAUUUAUUUUUUUUCAGCCUACAUAGGGCAGAAUAGGAGCAGAGCCCCCUGUGAAUAGGUGUUACAGCCAGAGACAAAUUUUUUUUUAAGUCUACUUUAUUUCGGUUUUCUCUUUUUCAAGAAAAAUGAUGGUGGCAGCCAGCAUAGGACAUGCUGGACACUGUAGGACACCAUAGGACAUGCUGGCUGAUGCUGGGAGAGGCCCCUUUGGUUGCAGCCAUCUCCUUCAGGAGCUAAUGGAAAGCUGCCUUGCCCUCCUCGUUUCAGCUGGGGAAUCGGAGAAAUGCAACACUCGGGCGAAACAGCCACCAAAUGCAACACUCCCAGCCACCCAGAAACCUGUGGUUAGGAAUCACUGUCAGACUUCACAUCAGAGCCAUCUGUUUCACACGCAGCAGCAAAGACAACAGUUUGUUUUUUUCCCCAGCGUGGCAGGACAUGAAUCAAAGCAAAGGCAGGCUAGGAAAUCUGGGGCCAAGGAAAACUGGGAGGUGCCGAGUUACCAAAAGUACUCUGGAUAGGUCAAUGCUCCUCAAAUGUCAAGAGAAGGGAAUGUGUAUGUGUAUGUAGGUGUUUGGCAUCUCUUGUGCUCCAUCCCAUUUUGGGAUAGCCCAGGCAGGAGAACAGUAAAUCCCUAAAAUACAUAUUCUCUGGCUUAAAUUAGAGUGGGAUUGAGUGUGUGUGGUGAAGAAGAGUGAAAAUGAAACCUGUUCCUCCUUGGCUUCAAAGGCUUGGACUACAAGGGAGCUCUGUUCAGGUAGGAUAUAAAGGGCAGGGUUUUCCUUAUUCAGCAGAAGCGGGAAGCAGGGUAACACAGUUGUGGCCAAACUAAAUCAACAGCAGCUCUUUUUCCAGACCCACCCCUGUUUAUCUCAGACCUUUUUAUGCUCCUGCGACUCCAGCGGUUCACAUUGUGCCGGGUGGCAUCUUGCCUUAAUUUUUCAGAAAAGAUUUAAGCUUGGUAGCCAAAUCUAAGGUUAAAGCCCAGAGCACUUUGUUCUACAAAAUGCCUGCCCGUCCUCUCCUCUACACAAAUUUCCUCUGCUUGUUGAAAGGUUCUUGUUCCUUCUGCAGGAGAGACUCACCUGCUUGUGGUGAACAGCCGUGGCACCCGAAAAAUGAGGCAGUGGUCUUGGUUUAGGCAGCAGCACUGCUCUUAAAGGAGCUGGGCUGUGCUGAAGUCAGACUGGGAUCCUGCGAGGGGGGCCCAGCAAAAACAGCUUUCUAUGGGAUGUGUUCCCCCCUGUCCCAAGUCCAGCUCAUCCCGGUCAUCCUUUACAGCUCUGGGGUAUUCUAAAUACGUGAACGUCCUCCAAACUGUGUGAAGACCCAAAUUUCAAAGUAUUUUUCAGUCACCUAACCCCUUGGGUGGCCUUG